CCCCGGGUGGCUCAGUCGGUUAAGCGUCCGACUUCAGCUCGGGUCAUGAUCUCACAGUUUGUGAGUUCAAGCCCCGCCUCGGGCU
rnacentral:tRNA from 1 species